rnacentral:lncRNA from 1 species
CCUCUCCCUGCCGACACCUCCUUAUCCUCUCAACAUCAUAACUGUCUUGCAGGCACAGACGUGUUUAUCGGCCAAACUGACCCUCACAAAAAGCUACCACCGAAGUGGACAGGCCCCUACACUGUGAUACUCAGCACACCAACUGCAGUGAGAGUCCGAGGACUCCCCAACUGGAUCCAUCGCACCAGGGUCAAGCUCACCCCCAAGGCAGCUUCUUCCUCCAAAACAUUAACAGCUAAGUGUUUGUCUGGGCCAAUUUCUCCUACCAAGUUUAAAUUAACCAACAUUUUUUUCUUAAAACCAAAACACAAGGAAGACUAACCACGUGCUUCCAGGAAUGGCCUGUAUCUACCCAACCACUUUCUAUACCUCUCUUCCAACCAAAAGUCUUAAUAUGGGAAUAUCCCUCACCACGAUCCUAAUACUGUCAGUAGCUGUCCUGCUGUCCACAGCAGCCCCUCCGAGCUGCCGUGAGUGUUAUCAGUCUUUGCACUACAGAGGGGAGAUGCAACAAUACUUUACUUACCAUACUCAUAUAGAAAGAUCCUGUUAUGGAAACUUAAUCGAGGAAUGUGUUGAAUCAGGAAAGAGUUAUUAUAAAGUAAAGAAUCUAGGAGUAUGUGGCAGUCGUAAUGGGGCUAUUUGCCCCAGAGGGAAGCAGUGGCUUUGCUUCACCAAAAUUGGACAAUGGGGAGUAAACACUCAGGUGCUUGAGGACAUAAAGAGAGAACAGAUUAUAGCCAAAGCCAAAGCCUCAAAACCAACAACUCCCCCUGAAAAUCGCCCGCGGCAUUUCCAUUCCUUUAUACAAAAACUAUAAGCAGAUGCAUCCCUUCCUAAGCCAGGAAAAAAUCUGUUUGUAGAUCUAGGAGAACCAUUGUGCUUACCAUGAAUGUGUCCAAUUGUUGGGUAUGCGGGGGAGCUUUAUGAGUGAACAGUGGCUGUGGGACGGGAUAGACAUUCCCCCUUACUUACAGGCAUCCCAAAACCCCAGACUCACUUUCACUCCUCAGGAAUGCCCGCAGUCCUGGACACUUACCAACCCAGUAUGAGGGACGGUGUGCAUAUCCCGCAAGUGGACUGAUAAAACCCAUCGCGCCGUAGGUGAAAACCCGUCACCAAACCCUAACAGUCAAUGCCUCCAUAGCUGAGUGGUGGCCAAGGUUACCCCCUGGAGCCUGGUCUCCUUCUAACUUAAGCUACCUCAAUUGUGUCUUGUCAAAAAAGGCCUGGUACUGUACGAACACCACUAACCCUUAUGCCGCAUACCUCCGCCUAAGUGUACUAUGCGACAAUCCUAGGAACACCAGCUGACAAUGGACUGCCACUGACGGAUUCCUGUGGAUAUGGGGAACCCAGGCUUACUCACAGCUACCUUAUCACUGGCAAGGUACUUGCUUCCUAGGCACAAUUCAACCUGGAUUCUUUUUACUUCCGAAGCAGGCGGGCAACACCCUCAGAGUCCCUGUGUAUGAUAACCAGAGAAAAAUGAUCCUUGGAGGUAGGAGGGAGCCAAAGAUUGUGAGAGGACGAGUGGCCUCUGCAACGGAUCAUUGAAUACUAUGGUCCUGCCACUUGGGCAGAGGAUGGUUCAUGGGGUUAUCGCACUCCCAUAUAUAUGCCAAAUAGAGCGAUUAGACUACAAGCUGUUCUAGAGAUAAUCACUAACCAAACUGCCUCAGCCCUAGAAAUGCUCGCGCAACAACAAAACCAAAUGCGCGCGGCAAUUUAUCAAAACAGGCUGGCCCUAGACUACUUAUUAGCAGAAGAGGGUGCGGGCUGUGGUAAGUUUAACAUCUCCAAUUGCUGUCUUAACAUAGGCAAUAAUGGAGAAGAGGUUCUGGAAAUCGCUUCAAACAUCAGAAAAGUAGCCCGUGUACCAGUCCAAACCUGGGAGGGAUGGGACCCAGCAAACCUUCUAGGAGGGUGGUUCUCUAAUUUAGGAGGAUUUAAAAUGCUGGUGGGGACAGUCAUUUUCAUCACUGGGGUCCUCCUGUUUCUCCCCUGUGGUAUCCCAUUAAAACUCUUGUUGAAACUACAGUUAACCUCCUGACAAUCCAGAUGAUGCUCCUGCUACAGCGGCACGAUGGAUAC